AGCAGUGUGAGCAAAACCAGCAGCAUCCACUUGUUUCCAGAACAGAAGAUGAUUCAGCCAUUCUACUGGCAAGUGAGAAAGAUGUGGAACCAAAAGAUAGUGAUGGUGCAUGGCCAUCAGGUACUCUUAGUUCUCCAGACUGGAUGGAUGAGUACUUAGAGUGGGAGCAGAACCAGGAGUACCCACUUCUCUCCACACCAGUGGAUGAUUCAGUUGUUCUACUGGCCAGUGAUGAUGAUGAAAUACUGAGAGAUAACAAUGGGUAUGUG